rnacentral:tRNA from 1 species
GGGGCUGUGGCCUAGCCUGGAAUGGCGACGGGCUCCAGCGGAUAAAUGAUGAACAACGGGUCUACUGAGAUCUGCUCGACGGAGUGGGUCGGUGAAGAGCCGUUGGAGCACUGAUGUGUGUUCUUAAGAAUUGACUGUCGUAAGGCAGUUGUUCGGAGAGACCCGUCGAUCGAGAGUUCGAAUCUCUCCAGCCCCACAU